rnacentral:rRNA from 1 species
CUAUACAUGACUCUGCGCAUAUCAAUAAGCGGAGGAAAAGAAACUAACAAGGAUUCCCCUAGUAACGGCGAGUGAAGCGGGAAGAGCUCAAAUUUGAAAUCUUAAAGGGUUUCCCUUUACGAAUUGUAGUUUAAAGAAGUGUUUUCUGUUGAGGUUUUGGUAAAAGUUCUUUGGAAUAGGACAUCAUAGAGGGUGAGAAUCCCGUAUUUGACCUUUACUUUCAACUUUGUGAUACACUUUCAAAGAGUCGGAUUGUUUGGGAAUGCAGUCCAAAAUGGGUGGUAAAUUUCAUCUAAAGCUAAAUAUUGGCGAGAGACCGAUAGCGAACAAGUACCGUGAGGGAAAGAUGAAAAGAACUUUGAAAAGAGAGUUAAACAGUACGUGAAAUUGUCAAAAGGGAAGCGUUUGACACCAGUGUUGUUUUUCUGAAAAUCAAUUAAAGAACUGUUUAUGCUAAGUUGUUUAGACUUUAUCAGCUAAUCUGUUUAGUUUUGAGCUUUUCUUUAAUGCACUUUUCAGUUAACAAGUCAACAUCAGUUUCUUUUGCUGUAAAAAAGCUUGAGGAAGGUGGCUUGAGAUUCGUCUUAAGUGUUUAUAGCCUCUUGCCUAUGCAGUCGGAGAGAUUGAGGUCUGCAGCGUAGAUCCUUCGGGGCUAAAUGCAUUUGUGCUAAGUUAUAGCAUUUUAUAGACAACUUGUUGACUAUGAUUUGUCUUGUAGCUUACUCGCUUAUGUUAUUUUACCUACGCUUAGGAUGUUGAGCGCAUGUCUCUCUCU